AUUGAACGCUGGCGGCAGGCCUAACACAUGCAAGUCGAACGGUAACAGGAAGAAGCUUGCUUCUUUGCUGACGAGUGGCGGACGGGUGAGUAAUGUCUGGGAAACUUCCUGAUGGAGGGGGAUAACUACUGGAAACGGUAGCUAAUACCGCAUAACGUCGCAAGACCAAAGAGGGGGACCUUCGGGCCUCUUGCCAUCGGAUGUGCCCAGAUGGGAUUAGCUAGUAGGUGGGGUAACGGCUCACCUAGGCGACGAUCCCUAGCUGGUCUGAGAGGAUGACCAGCCACACUGGAACUGAGACGCGGUCCAGACUCCUACGGGAGGCAGCAGUGGGGAAUAUUGCACAAUGGGCGCAAGCCUGAUGCAGCCAUGCCGCGUGUAUGAAGAAGGCCUUCGGGUUGUAAAGUACUUUCAGCGGGGAGGAAGGGAGUAAAGUUAAUACCUUUGCUCAUUGACGUUACCCGCAGAAGAAGCACCGGCUAACUCCGUG
rnacentral:rRNA from 1 species